rnacentral:rRNA from 1 species
UACGGGGGGAGCAAGCGUUGUUCGGAAUCACUGGGCGUAAAGGGAGUCUAGGCGGUUUGGUAAGUGGGAUGUGAAAUCCCCGGGCUCACCCCGGGACCUGCAUCCCAAACUGCUGAGCUUGAGUACAGGAGAGGGUGGGGGAAUUCCAGGUGUAGCGGUGAAAUGCGUAGAUAUCUGGAGGAACACCGGUGGCGAAGGCGGCAUCCUGGACCGAUACUGACGCUGAGGAGCGAAAGCCAGGGGAGCAAACGGG